rnacentral:snRNA from 1 species
CUACUGGCUUCAGCAGCACAUAUACUAAAAUUAAAAUGAUACAGAGAUUAUCUAACCCUCGUGCAAGGAUUACACGCAAAUUCAUGAAUUGUUCCGUAUUUUU